GGCGAGCCCCGUGUCGGGCCCGCCCUUCUCACCCGGUACCUGAUACGGCCGGAGUGA
rnacentral:ncRNA from 1 species